UGGGGCUAUAGCUCAGUCGGUUAGAGCGCAGAGCUGAUAACUCUGAGGUCGCUGGUUCGAUUCCAGCUAGCCCCACCCA
rnacentral:tRNA from 1 species